GAGAAUGUGGAGGGAGUAAGAAGUGAGUAGGAUGGGUCCAGGAUAUGACUGUCUUUAAAAGUCAAAGGAUUUUAUAUUUGGCACGAAAGGUAAUAGGGAAAUACUGGAAUUUACUGAAUGGGAAGAAAGACAGUGGUAGGACACGGAAGAUAACAACAGCAAUAACAACAUUUAUAAACCACUUUUUAUGCCUUGGGCACUGUGCUAAAUGCUUUGCAAUCAUGUCGUUUGAUCCUCACAACAACCAGGGAGAGAUGAAGAGAUCACUCAGAUACUCUUGUGUGCAGAUAACUCCUGAUUUCAUCAGACCUCAUAAUAUUACAAAGUCUUCACAAGUACGUUGUUCAAGAUUAUUCAUGAAGGGUAAAGAAACUCCUUAACUAGAAGAAAAAGCUCUUUCCUGCAGGCAAUAGGAUGGACAAUCCAAGUGGUUCAUAUUUCAGUUGAUGCAUCAUGGAAGGAUAGGUUACUACAAAUUGGAAGUGAGCCUAGCCCACAGUUCAACGAAGGAGUAAUGCAAGCUUGAUUUGCCUCCGGGAAAUUGUGCAGAGCUUUUAAUGACCCAAAGCUUCUCCCAGAAACUCAAGCCCAUCUGUUUUAAAAAACUGUAAUCUAGUGAUGAUGUUGAAUAAGGGCAUGUCAUGUAAUGUCACAAGUUUCCAAAGAACUAAAGUUGCAUUUUCCCCAAAGAGUAAGGGAGAGCACGAUAUGUACAAAUAAAUGAUAGCAAUGAGCACGUAUGCA
rnacentral:lncRNA from 1 species